AUUACCGUUUUCAUUUUUACAUAUUUACACAAAUGUACAAUGUCAAAUGGAAAAGCAAAGUCCUGCUGCAGUGGCAUUUCCCAUGUCCAACACGGCUUUGUGGCUUAGUGGUUAGCACGUUUACCUCACACCUCACCACAAGACGAGCACAAGAUGAGUCCAGUGCUUUGUUGACUUUUAUUUCUUCUUACAGUGUGGCAAAUUGUCUACAAUUUUUUACAAAAAACACAAAAGUAGAAUUGCGAAGGCAGGACAACUAGAGUACACUGUACACGUCACAUUGCUUAUGAAACAAGAAGUAAUCAAUUUAAAGUCAUACAACAGAAUCAUGAUAUUUUACAAAAUUACAGCAGGAUGUAUAAUAAAACUAAAAUAAAACACAGCUAAUUCCUGAGUGGAUUCUUAGCUAGCACUAGCCUGAACAGAAGUCGAAUAUUUUAUUCAUUUUACAUCACACCAGUAGAGGGCAGAAUUUCUCUUCACUCACGUUGCACAGGAACGUUACACUCGGGAGCUACGUUUCCAUCCACGUCUUUUUAAAUGAAUUUUGGGAUUCGGCGUAAAAAUAAAAUAAAGAAAACACUGUACGGAAACACCAGAUGCGAAUAAAAUCUCCAAAAUGCGCAUAAGAAAACGCGUGCGCUCAACUGACGCGGAUCGUUUUUUUAUUUGAUAAGAAGACGUGCGCGUACACUACGAUGGAAACACGUUUAUCGAAUAAAUUCCUUUAUGCGUGUCAAAAAAGUCAUGUGACUUUCCCUCAGCAAAUCAUGUGAUUGGAUAAUUGGCUGAUGUGACUGGAUAUUCAGCGCAUGUGGCCAGUUUAUACAGCUCAACGGCUGUAUAAUGCAUUUUUAUCGUUUGUUAUAUAGGAAAAAAGGUCCAUUUGUAGUGAUACUUCGUGCCAGUUUCCCCACAAGUGACGAUUUUGUUCCCUUGAACACACAGGAUGGAAACGGUGCUUUAUUCGCAAGUGCAUUAUGCGAUAUUCCGAUUUUUCACACAAACUAAACUCGCAGCUUGGAUGGAAAGGCAGCUAUUGAGGACAUUCUGAAGUUCGUAGUAAUCUAGAUGAUCAGAUGUGUCUGCACCACAUUACAGAACGGGUUACUGAAUCUCUACCCCACAUUCUCAAUGGCUGCUCUGCUUAGCGUAUCACCAUAAAUCUCAUAACAGGUUACUGCCGUUAGCCACGCCUAGAAGGAGAGCUAAACCGCUAGCAUAAUACUGUUCAUACCGCUAUCACUGGCAGCGUCAUAUAUGGAGAAGGAGCUGCUUUAUAUAUACAUGAUAAUCUUG
ensembl:lncRNA